GACGAACGCUGGCGGCGUGCUUAACACAUGCAAGUCGAACGGUGAAGCGCCUUCCUUUUUGGUGGGUGUGGAUGAGUGGCGAACGGGUGAGUAACACGUGAGUAACCUGCCCCCUUCUUCUGGAUAACCGCAUGAAAGUGUGGCUAAUACGGGAUAUUCUGGGUCUGUCGCAUGAUGGGUCUGGGAAAGAUAUUGUUUCGGUGGGGGAUGGGCUCGCGGCCUAUCAGCUUGUUGGUGGGGUGAUGGCCUACCAAGGCGGUGACGGGUAGCCGGCCUGAGAGGGUGGACGGUCACACUGGGACGGAGACACGGCCCAGACUCCUACGGGAGGCAGCAGGGGGGAAUAGUGCACAAUGGGCGCAAGCCUGAUGCAGCGACGCCGCGUGAGGGAUGGAGGCCUUCGGGUUGUGAACCUCUUUCGCCAGUGAAGCAGGCCUGCCUCGUUUGUGGGUGGGUUGACGGUAGCUGGAUAAGAAGCGCCGGCUAACUACGUG
rnacentral:rRNA from 1 species